rnacentral:rRNA from 1 species
GAUGAACGCUGGCGGCGUGCCUAAUACAUGCAAGUAGAACGCUGAAGGAAGGAGCUUGCUCUUUCCGGAUGAGUUGCGAACGGGUGAGUAACGCGUAGGUAACCUGCCUGGUAGCGGGGGACAACUAUUGGAAACGAUAGCUAAUACCGCAUAACAGUAGAUGUUGCAUGAUAUCUACUUAAAAGGUGCAAUUGCACCACUACCAGAUGGACCUGCGUUGUAUUAGCUAGUUGGUGAGGUAACGGCUCACCAAGGCGACGAUACAUAGCCGACCUGAGAGGGUGAUCGGCCACACUGGGACUGAGACACGGCCCAGACUCCUACGGGAGGCAGCAGUAGGGAAUCUUCGGCAAUGGACGGAAGUCUGACCGAGCAACGCCGCGUGAGUGAAGAAGGUUUUCGGAUCGUAAAGCUCUGUUGUAAGAGAAGAACGAGUGUGAGAGUGGAAAGUUCACACUGUGACGGUAUCUUACCAGAAAGGGACGGCUAACUACGUG